CUUACCUUGCAGGAUAUCAGCUCAGUAAUUCUGCGCUGAGCGCAAUAAUCUUGCGUUAUCACAACAAGAAAGGAACCAUUCCAUUCGAUAUCUUCAUACAGAUUUUAGUUCGUGUCAUAGUCAUGUUCGAUACAUUUAGAAGACACACAAUGGGCCGAGGUCGACGACAAUCAGAGAAGGCAGUGUUCACUAUUGACGACUUCAUCGAAUCGACGUUGACUGUUUGAUUAAAAUUGACAGACAGGGCGAAUCCGUGAUAAUAAGAAAACUGACCGAUGAGUGGCAAAUGCAGCCUGGCGUAAAGCACGACGAGCCUGCGUGAAAAAGGAAUAAAAGGAUACUGACCAAAAUAUCGGUCUCUAAAAAAUGUUUAAGACUGCUUUCUAAAAGCAGUGGUUCCCUAUAAAGGUUUAUGCAAGCUGAAAUUUCUUUUGUCAGUACAAAUAUUGCUUAUUUUUUUAGGCACGUUUAACGAAUCGGAAAUCUGUUUGAGAGCGAAAUGAAGACUUCGGAUGCUUCAAAAAAUGGGAAUUUUUUUUAAGUAAUGGCCCAAAAUAUCGCUACCCUGUUUCUUCACAUUUGAAUAUAUUAUACCCACCAGCUAGGUAUUUGAAUGUUUUUGGUAUGUUAUGAGAAACAUAUUUUAUAAUGUUUCAUCUAGGUUUUCACGUAUUCCCGAAUAAGGAAAAAAUAAUAAUUGUAAGCUUUUUAUACCGCAAAAUGAUUUUGUCUUUCUGUGUGUUUGGAAUAUAAUAUUAUGAAAAACUUUUUGAGAGGAAAGAACAUUUUGUUAGCAAAUGCUUUACUAUAUAUUGCUAGAAAAUCAUCUAUAUAUGCCAAAUGUUACUCUUGCUGGUCAAAAACUUCCACUUUCCUGUUUGUUAAGUGUGCUUCGUCGAGGAACUCUUUUGCAUCUGUUUUUUUUUUGGCUCUCUAAACUUCCCGCCAUUGUAGAAAACAAUGUCUCACAACUCCAAAACACAUAUUUGAAUUCACUUACAAUUUGAAUUUCCGUGACAUUUAACACUGAACAGAGGUGAAUCUUCGAAGACUAACCGUGGCUGGAAAUGAAAAAUACUUUCCGUAAGAUCUCUGAGUGUUUUUUUUUUUUAAAGAGACAACUCGUGUGUGCUUACCAUACCAGCACCGUUGUUCAUACAGAAGUGUACGUGCGCUAUUUUCCCUCUUCAAUUAACGGGUGUCAGAUCGUGACAGAUACUUAUCAAAAUAUGUUUCAAAGUUUGCUUGGAAGCCCAACAAGUUACACUUACCAAAACGUCGGUAACAAUAAUAUUUCGGUGAAGCGUUUCCCUUUAAUUCAAAUAGCUUCUGUUCUCUUUGCCAGCGACUCGCCAAAUAAUUUUUCAGCUGGGAGGAUCUUCCCGUAGUCAAACUUGUAAUUGUAGCUCUUAAUCAUUCGGGUUCCUUUCGUUACAUUUCCUUAAGCGUUAGAAAAAAAUAGAAGUGAAUUCACCAGCCUAGGUGGGUCUGUAUUGGGAAAAACAGUGCCCUCUGUCUUGAGGACCGCCCUCGGGCGUUAUCCAAGGCCUCGUGCAGAUACGUACUAGUCUCCCACGCAGCCGUUUUUAGUCUCGUCACGCAACGUUGCGCGACGAGACCAAAAACGGCUGCGUGGGAGACUAGAUACGGACCGACCUAGACUGGUGAAUAACACAUAUAUAUCAAAGAUGAGUCAAAAUGCGAGAAGAACAUCAAUGACACACUCAGCUACGCUUCAUUUAUAUUAUUACCACAUUUUGACGCCAUCUAAGCUCUAUUACAGACCAUACAUCUGGUAUCACUGAAUCUAUUUCUUCAUGUGACGUAAGGGCAUGAAAAGGAUUUCGUGAUGGGGGAUCUUAUCCUAGUAUACUUUUAUUUGGGAGGAUAAUUUUGGUCCAGUAUUCUUCACCUGCUAAUCAAACAAGAGUCGUCCAUUUCACAAAACCUUUUUUAUGAAUUAUACAAGGCAAUGAUGAUAUCUUAGCUACACUAAAAUUAACUGCAUUAAUCAAUUAAAAAUCGCUUUAAGAGAAAGAUAUAUACGUGUGUUAGGGGAAGUUCUUGAGAAGAAGUUCACCUUUCACCUGGAAAGUUUGUCAAAAUAAUCAACAAUUCUUGGUACUUCUGAAGCAUAUUGUCGCGUCUUGGUUUAAUUUUGGUUUGACAUUGUGCUGUUUCAUUCUUCAGUGUCUGAAUAUGUCUAUAAAUCAAAAAGCUAUAAAUCUAGGAGAGCAGGCAAGGGCAUGCUGUUUAUGUUUAAGGACUACACUAUAGGCAAAAAAAGAAAGCUAAAACGAAAGACCUUUUAAUAAUUUUGGGAAGUCAGUCUGAUGAAUAAUAGGAGCAAAAAAAUUAAGAAAUUGUAAAACAUAACCAUGCAUUUGUGCAUGGGUUAUGGUAGAAUCAUGAAAAUGCUACAUGUGAGUGCUCAAGAGUCAGAGUUAAUAAAAUUCAACAAAACCCAA
rnacentral:lncRNA from 1 species